GGAACCAAUAGAAGAUCCCAGGAGAGCCCAUUGUCCAACCCAUUCCAACACCAGUAUGGACCAGUAUGGACCAGUAUAGACCAGUAUAGACCAGUAUAGACCAGUAUGGACCAGUAGAACCAGUAUGGACCAGUAGAAACCAGUAUGGACCAAUAGGGACCCAUAGGGGUCAAUAGAGAGCCAUAGGAACCAAUAGAAGAUCCCAGGAGAACCCAUUGUCCAACCCCUUCCAACACCAGUAUGGACCAGUAUAGACCAGUAUGGACCAGUAUAGACCAGUAUAGACCAGUAUGGACCAGUACGGACCAGUAGAAACCAGUAUAGACCAAUAGGGACCCAUAGUGGUCAAUAGAGAGCCAUAGGAACCAAUAGAAGAUCCCAGGAGAACCCAUUGUCCAACCCCUUCCAACACCAGUAUGGACCAGUAUAGACCAGUAUGGACCAGUAGAAACCAGUAUGGACCAGUAGAAACCAGUAUAGACCAAUAGGGACCAGUAUGGGCCGCUACGGACCCAUAGAGGUCAAUAGAGACCCAUAGGAACCAAUAGAAGACCCCAGGAGAGCCCAUUGUCCAACCCCUUCCCACACCAGUAUGGACCAGUAUAGACCAGUAUGGACCAGUAUAAACCAGUAUGGACCAGUAGAAACCAGUAUGGACCAAUAGGGACCCAUAGUGGUCAAUAGAGAGCCAUAGGAACCAAUAGAAGAUCCCAGGAGAACCCAUUGUCCAACCCCUUCCAACACCAGUAUGGACCAGUAUGGACCAGUAUAAACCAGUAUGGACCAGUAUAGACCAGUAUGGACCAGUAGGAACCAGUAUAGACCAGUAUGGACCAGUAUGGACCAGUAUAGAACAGUAUGGGCCACAACGGACCCAUAGAGGUCAAUAGAGACCCAUAGGAACCAAUAGAAGAUCCCAGGAGAGCCCAUUGUCCAACCCAUUCCAACACCAGUAUGGACCAGUAUGGACCAGUAUAGACCAGUAUAGACCAGUAUAGACCAGUAUGGACCAGUAGAAACCAGUAUGGACCAGUAGAAACCAGUAUAGACCAAUAGAGACCCAUAGGGGUCAAUAGAGAGCCAUAGGAACCAAUAGAAGAUCCCAGGAGAACCCAUUGUCCAACCCAUUCCAACACCAGUAUGGACCAGUAUGGACCAGUAUAAACCAGUAUGGACCAGUAUAGACCAGUAUGGACCAGUAGAAACCAGUAUAGACCAAUAGGGACCCAUAGAGGUCCAUAGAGAGCCAUAGGAAUCAAUAGAAGAUGCCAGGAGAGCCCAUUGUUGCACCCCUAUCAAACACCAGUAUAGACCAGUAUAGACCAGUAUGGACCAGUAUGGACCAGUAUAGACCACUAUGGACCAGUAUAAACCAGUAUGGACCAAUAGGGACCAGUAUGGGCCACAACGGACCCAUAGGGGUCAAUAGAGACCCAUAGGAACCAAUAGAAGAUCCCAGGAGAACCCAUUGUCCAACCCCUUCCCACACCAGUAUGGACCAGUAUGGACCAGUAUGAACCAGUAUGGACCAGUAUAGACCAG
ensembl:lncRNA